rnacentral:rRNA from 1 species
AACGAACGCUGGCGGCGUGCCUAACACAUGCAAGUCGAGCGCGAAUGGGAGCAGUCCCUAGUAGAGCGGCGCACGGGUGCGUAACACGUGGGUAAUCUGCCUGGAAGCCCGGGACAACCUUCCGAAAGGAUGGCUAAUACCGGAUAAGCCUACGGGAUCCUCGGAUCCUGAAGGAAAAGGUGGCCUCUGUAUACAAGCUAUCACUUCCAGAUGAGCCCGCGGCCCAUCAGCUAGUUGGCGGGGUAAUGGCCCAACAAGGCUACGACGGGUAGCUGGUCUGAGAGGACGAUCAGCCACACUGGAACUGAGACACGGUCCAGACUCCUACGGGAGGCAGCAGUGGGGAAUUUUGCACAAUGGGCGCAAGCCUGAUGCAGCAACGCCGCGUGUGUGAUGAAGGUCUUCGGAUUGUAAAGCACUUUCGACCGGGACGAACACCCCUUGGCUAAUAUCCAAGGAUCUGACGGUACCGGGAGAAGAAGCACCGGCUAACUCUGUGCCAGCCGCCGCGGUAAGAC